rnacentral:rRNA from 1 species
UACGAAGGGGGCUAGCGUUGUUCGGAAUCACUGGGCGUAAAGGGCGCGUAGGCGGCUUUAUAAGUCGGGGGUGAAAGCCUGUGGCUCAACCACAGAAUUGCCUUCGAUACUGUAGAGCUUGAGACCGGAAGAGGUAAGUGGAACUGCGAGUGUAGAGGUGAAAUUCGUAGAUAUUCGCAAGAACACCAGUGGCGAAGGCGGCUCACUGGCCCGAUACUGACGCUGAGGUGCGAAAGCUGGGGGAGCAAACAGGAUUAGAUGACCCUGGU